CUCAACAACAACAGCAGCAGCAGCAGCAGCCACUGUGACACACGACAGGAAGAAACUCCUCUGAACCACAACUGCCGCCACAGCCCCUACGGCCGAUUUGAACACAGACCCGAGACAAGAUGUCUGACUGGGAAGACAAAGAGGAAGUGCAUCUGUGUGUGCAGUGAAGUAAAAGGAAGCAUCAUGAGUGGACAACAAACGUUGAUUUGUAUGUGUGCGCGCACCUGUGCGCGAUUGAGAUCUUGGGGUCUUACAAGAAAAAAAUAGAGGGACAACAGCAAUUUGCAGGAAUGUGAACCAGGGGGCAUUAACUACAAUGACCCAACAGAGUGGGUAAGGUAGGUCGUUGUAGGGCUCCGUCACCUUCAGCAUCUCCACCAGCUUCUCGCGGUUGUACACAGUGCCAAUCUCCUGGCCCAGCACACAGUCCAGGAGCUUGCUGAUGGGCCACGACAGCGGGAAGGUGAGCAGCAUGAACAGCUUAGUGACCAGGAUGGUGUUGGCACCCACCGCCAGGCCAGUGGCGUGAACACAGUGCUUGGGGCACGAUCUCACCGAAGAUCACGAUGCCCACUGUGGAGGCUACCACUGCGCCCACGCCUGACUUGGUCAGGUCAUCCAGCAGAAUAUGCCGCAACUCUGCACGAUACGCAGCUCCAUGGGGUCCAGAGCCAUCAGGCCCAGGUUUAGCCCACUGAACAUGCCCGACAGGACCAGCAAGAAGGAGAUGAUGAUCACCUGCAGUGGUGGGAAGAAAGCAAGUGCAAAUAUUUGCUUAUUGUACUUACUUACUAAGUAGUAGUCGUUCAGGUAUCUUAAGUACUUAUUUUUCUGACGACUUCUUACUUUUUACUACCACAUUUGAAAACAGAUACUAUUCACAAAAAGUUGGG